UGGGGAAUAUUGCACAAUGGGCGCAAGCCUGAUGCAGCAACGCCGCGUGAACGAUGAAGGUCUUCGGAUCGUAAAGUUCUGUUGCAGGGGAAGAUAAUGACGGUACCCUGUGAGGAAGCCCCGGCUAACUACGUGCCAGCAGCCGCGGUAAUACGUAGGGGGCUAGCGUUAUCCGGAUUUACUGGGCGUAAAGGGUGCGUAGGUGGUCUUUCAAGUCGGUGGUUAAAGGCUACGGCUCAACCGUAGUUAGCCUCCGAAACUGGAAGACUUGAGUGCAGGAGAGGAAAGUGGAAUUCCCAGUGUAGCGGUGAAAUGCGUAGAUAGUGGGAGGAACACCAGUAGCGAAGGCGGCUGUCUGGACUGCAAAUGACACUGAGGCACGAAAGCGUGGGUAGCAAACAGG
rnacentral:rRNA from 1 species